rnacentral:rRNA from 1 species
AUUGAACGCUGGCGGCAGGCCUAACACAUGCAAGUCGAACGGUAGCACAGAGAGCUUGCUCUCGGGUGACGAGUGGCGGACGGGUGAGUAAUGUCUGGGAAACUGCCCGAUGGAGGGGGAUAACUACUGGAAACGGUAGCUAAUACCGCAUAACGUCGCGAGACCAAAGUGGGGGACCUUCGGGCCUCACCACAUCGGAUGUGCCCAGAUGGGAUUAGCUAGUAGGUGGGGUAAUGGCUCACCUAGGCGACGAUCCCUAGCUGGUCUGAGAGGAUGACCAGCCACACUGGAACUGAGACACGGUCCAGACUCCUACGGGAGGCAGCAGUGGGGAAUAUUGCACAAUGGGCGCAAGCCUGAUGCAGCCAUGCCGCGUGUAUGAAGAAGGCCUUCGGGUUGUAAAGUACUUUCAGCGGGGAGGAAGGCGGUGAGGUUAAUAACCUCGCCGAUUGACGUUACCCGCAGAAGAAGCACCGGCUAACUCCGUGCCAGCAGCCGCCGUAA